rnacentral:rRNA from 1 species
GAAGGUGAGCAAAUCCCAAAAAUAACGUCCCAGUUCGGAUUGUAGUCUGCAACCCGACUACAUGAAGCUGGAAUCGCUAGUAAUCGCGGAUCAGAAUGCCGCGGUGAAUACGUUCCCGGGUCUUGUACACACCGCCCGUCACACCAUGGGAGUCGGAAAUGCCCGAAGCCGGUGACUCAACCUUUAAGGAGAGAGCCGUCGAAGGCAGGUCUGAUAACUGGGGUGAAGUCGUAACAAGGUACC